AAUUACCAAUCCCGACACGGAGGUAGUGACAAUAAAUAACAAUAUAGGGCUCUUUUGGGUCUUAUAAUUGGAAUGAGUACAAUUUAAAUCUCUUAACGAGGAACAAUUGGGAGGGCAAGUCUGGUGCCAGCAGCCGCGGUAAUUCCAGCUCCAAUAGCGUAUAUUAAAGUUGUUGCAGUUAAAAAGCUCGUAGUUGAACUUCAGAUCUGGUUGAGUGGUCCGCCUAACGGUGUGUUACUGCUUGACUGGGUCUUGUCUCUUGGUGAACCGUUGUGUUCUUUAUUGGUAUGCUUCGGGGAAACCAGGACUUUUACCUUGAGAAAAUUAGAGUGCUCAAAGCAGGCAUUUGCUCGGAUACAUUAGCAUGGAAUAAUAGAA
rnacentral:rRNA from 1 species